GCGUCGGUGGUGCAUUGGUUCAGCACGCGCUCCCAGAUAGGGUGAAGUGUGGGUUUGAAUCCCAACUGGCGCA